UGGAAUGGAAGAGGACGUUUCC
rnacentral:miRNA from 1 species